rnacentral:rRNA from 1 species
GACGAACGCUGGCGGCGUGCUUAACACAUGCAAGUCGAACGGGAUAAUUUGAGAGCUUGCUCUUAGAGAAUCUAGUGGCACACGGGUGAGUAACACGUAGACAACCUGCCGACAGGAUGGGGACAACAUUCCGAAAGGAAUGCUAAUACCGAAUGAAGCGGAGGAGAGGCAUCUCUCCUCCGUGAAAGAUGGCCUCUGAAUAUGCUAUCACCUGUCGAUGGGUCUGCGUCUGAUUGGCUAGUUGGUGAGGUAACGGCUCACCAAGGCGACGAUCAGUAGCCGGUCUGGGAGGAGGGACGGCCCCAUUGGGACUGGGACACGGCCCAGGCUCCUACGGGAGGCAGCCGUGGGGAAUCUUCCGCAAUGGGCGCAAGCCUGACGGAGCAACGCCGCGUGAGUGAAGAAGGUCUUCGGAUCGUAAAGCUCUGUUGACGGGGACGAACGUGCGGAGGGUGAAUAAUCCUUUGUAAUGACGGUACCUGUCGAGGAAGCCACGGCUAACUACGUG